CUUAUUGACUACAGUUUUCAUUCAGAUGGCAUCUAUUUAGGAUAUAGGCCUUAAACUAUGUCUAGAUGACUUAUUUUUAUCAGUAAAAUUGUAGAAGACAGAGAAAUCCCAUUACCUGCAGGCGAGGGUGUAGAUUUGCAUAUGGAAGGUAGGGACAUGUCCCUAGCAAUAUUUUGGGAGGGCAGAAUUGUGAUCAUGAUCAUAGUCAGGUAAAUUCCAUAGCAUACUCUCCCAGAAGCUCCAGGAUUUAGGCAUGCUAGCAUUUGAUUGGCUGAAAGGGAGGGCCUAUCUGAAGGCUCACCUUGCGUGCAAAUAUCGAGCUGCCAGUGUAGAGUACAGACACGGAGGCAAGGGCUGAUCAGCUGACAAUGAUAUCAUGCCACCAAAAAAACGACGAGACAUCAGGAGCUUUUUCCCCACCCAAAGCGAAACGCAGCAACAGGCUGAAGUAGAGCAGGAUGAAACAGCUGUGUCUUCAGGGUUUCAGAAAACUCAUAAAUCAAGUAGGCCUAAACAUGCCGUAGGGCAGGUUGAGGGAGAAUCAGCUGGACCUUCAGGGCUUCAGGAGACAGUCAGUGUGAGUGAGGAUGAUCCUGAAGCAAGUCAGUGUAGCAGUGUCAUGGACAUGGGGAGUAAGCCAUACCAGCCUGAUCCAAAAUUCAUCGAAGUACAGCAACUUCCAAACAAGAUUUUGCGGUUUCAGGCGAAUGGUAGUCAGUAUUCAUGGCUUCGCUUCAGUCCAACACUGAAAAAGGUUCUUUGUUUUGAGUGUGUCAAAGCAUACACCAUAAAAAAGACCACUUUGGAAAAAAGAAUGACCCUGCCUUCUGCAGAAAGGGUUUCAAUAAUUGGAAGAAUGCCACAGGUAGCUUUAGUCGACACCAAGCCAGCAAAGCACACCACCAUGCAGUUACAAUAAAUGCCCUGGAGCAAACUCCAGUUCACACACAAAUAUUAAGUGCAUGGGCUAAAACACAGGAAGAGGUGAGGCACUGUCUGGACAAAAUAAUGGGUGCCAUAAGGUAUCUUGCUAGGCAGGGAGUAGCAUUUCGAGGGCAUGAAGCAAAUGAAGGGAAUUUGUAUCACCUUGAGAAGUUACUUGCAAAUGAUGACCCUGUUCUUUCCUCAUGGCUCACCUGUUGCCAUGAUUGUCAGUCCACAGUGCCAAAAUGAAUACUUAACCUUGCUUGGUAACACAAUUGUCAGAGGCAUUGCAGCAACAAUCAGGUCCUUACCAGUGGUUCAGUUUUCUGUUAUAAUGGAUGGCACUCAGGAUAUACUGGGAAAAGAGCAAAUUUUCAUGUGUUUUAGAUAUGUGGACCAAGACCUGGUGCCACAGGAAGUCUUUGUGGGAUUGUAUGAGAUGCCAAGGAGAACUGGUGAGCAGAUAGCCAAACUAGCCAUUGAUGUGCUCCUGAGAUUGAAUAUUCCAAUUUCAGGUUUAUGAGGUCAGACAUAUGAUGUCUGCUCGGGGCCACAGGCAGUGUUGAAAAGGGAACAGAUAAAAGGGAAUAUCAGAGGGGCAUACCAAAACCGUGAAACCUCUGUGUCCGACUAGGUGGACAGUGCGUGGACAAGCUGUUGAUACAGUUCUUAGUCAGUAUGAGGCUGUGUUGUCCAGUUUGGAGGAAAUGGCCUCAGUUGGUUCCGACUCUGGGACAAAGGCCAAUGGUCUCCUAGAUCACUUCCAGAAGGGCAAGACUGUUCUUGGACUUGGAGGUAUUGGGAGAGCUUGAGUGCCUAAACAAGUCAUUGCAAAAGCAGUCCCAAACAAUUGAGGGCAUGCAGGCUGCUGUUGAGUAUGUUAGCUCAACUCCUCAAAAAAAAGAGGAAUGAGGAAAAGUUUGAAGAAGUGUUUCAGAAGGCAGUGUCCAUGACAUACUCCCUGGGUAUUGAGCCAGUUCAAAUCUCUCACCAAAGAAAUCCCCCCCCCCAAAAGAUUCACUGGUAGGGCUAGUCAGCAUAAGCCAACAACACCAGAGGAAUACUAUAAGAUAGAAUUUUUCAAGGUGCUGGACAGUUUGGAUGUUCAAAGAACGGUUUAACCAACCAGACUUGCAGAUCUUGAAAAAAGUUUGAGAAUGUUCUCCUUACUGGGCAAAUUGAUGAUGUCAUUGGACAGUAUCCAGAGAUAAACAGAGAUAGUUUGAAGGUUCAGCUGCCAAUGUUUCUCUCAAAGAAUACCUACAUGUCAAGUAGUGAAGCUGCAGAUACCCUAAGAGGAAUGCCAAGAGAGGUAAGAGGCUUAUUCGAUAAGGUUGAGAAGCUUAUUAGGUUGUUGUUAGUCGUCCCUGUGGCCUCAGCUGAAGCAGAACGACGCUUUAGUGCACUCAAAAGACUGAAAACUUGGCUAAGAUCUACCAUGUCUCAGCAGUGCCUUAAUAAUAUAGCUGUAUGUCAUGUACAUCAAGAGGCCCUUGACCAAGUAGAUCUUAAAGAUAUUUGCCAACAGUUUAUAUCCGUCAAUGACCGACGUCGGCAUCUGUUUGGAUUGUUUAAAUAGACACCAAGGACCAUCAUGAAGAAUGUUGAUGUUGGAUGCAAAACAUUUUUUGUUUUUUUUCUCUUUUCUGUUAACAAGUAAUUCCAUAGUUACUUUCUUUUAGUCUUUGAUCUGUUGCUUUGUAUAAUUUGUAUUUAAAUGUAAAUACAGAUCUUAAUAUAAAUAUAGAUGUUAUAUUUUAAUAAACCAGUUGGUUGUCAACAUUAAACAGUUCUUUGUGUUUUUUUUUGGGUUUUUUUUCCCCCCGGGGUGGGUGUCCCUACCAAUAUUGAGACCAAACCUACGCCCAUGCCUGUAGGGCUCCAGCACCGUUUCCAACUUUGCCAGCUUGUCAUAUUCAGCUUAACAUAUUGAAGUUGUGCUUCUGCUGUGCCAGCGUUGCUUUCAGUGGAUCUUUGUUGUGUUGAAUCCGCCUUAUCAUUUCAAGAGUUGAAUUCCAGCACGUUGAUACAUCCUGGACGAGGGACUCCUCUAUUAGUCCAUGAGAGGCUUGCUGAGCUUUCAGCUCUACGGUGUUUGCGGGACGGUGUCUGAAGUGUCCUACUAUUUUACGGCACUUGGCUUAAACGCUGUCAAAUCCGCUGUCCCGUAAAGCCACGGUGAUCACCCUUUUGUAUCAUAUGCGCUACACGGCACAUGCUCGAAUGGUAGACUCCUUGCAGCGGCAAUCAUAUUGCGAGCGCUGUCUGUUCCUAAAGUUGUGACCUUGCCCGUUAUCUCCCACUCAUUUGCAACUUUGAGAAACUGGCUAGUGCAUGCUUCGGCAAAAUGCCUUUCUUCUGUAUUUAACAUGCCUAAAGUGAAUGAGUGCAGCUGCCAGUUGUCAUCGAUUAUGUGUGCUGUUACACCGAGGUAGUUAUGGUUACUUACUGAUG